rnacentral:lncRNA from 1 species
CUAGUGUAUAAAAUUCGAAUCGACAUAUACGGCGCGCUAUGGUUCAUCUAGAAUUCUACCUUCAAUAUACAGUAUGUCACGGGCCUCUCCUCUAGUAGCCGGGACGAGAGACGAAGAACGAGCGCCAAGACAUGCAAAUUAGGCUGGUCACGUGGAUUUACAAGCGGCAAUACGGUAGACCGGAAGGAAGUGCACCGGACCUACGAUCGCGCGCGCGGAAAACGCGUCAAUUGACAUUCCAGACUGACCGCGGGCGCUGGCGACGAAUGGUUGCGCGACGGGCGGCGCGAUCGCGCGUAGGCGCAUCGCCAACAACGGGUCUCCGCGAGUCUGUGAAAAAAAGCAGUUUUAGCGCAUGCGCUAUGACCGUCCUUACACCACACAGCUGUUGUGCAUGCGCGCCGGUCGCAAUGAAACAAAUAGAAGUUCCGAA